UACGUAGGGGGCAAGCGUUGUCCGGAAUCAUUGGGCGUAAAGGAUGUGUAGGUGGUUGUGUUAGUCUUUUGUUAAAUUCUUCGGCUUAACCGGGGACAUGCGGGAGAAACGGCACGACUAGAGGAUGCGAGGGGUCUGCGGAACUCAUAGUGUAGCGGUGAAAUGCGUUGAUAUUAUGGGGAACACCAAAAGCGAAGGCAGCAGACUGGAGCACUCCUGACACUGAAACAUGAAAGCGUGGGUCGCGAAUGGG
rnacentral:misc_RNA from 1 species